GGGAGGGAGGGACAGGCCGUGGGGCGGCCAGCCUGGCGGGGAGUGGCUUCUGGGGGCCCCCUCACUAGCGGAGGGCCCGCGAGGCCGCCCUCGGAGUGCCUCCAGAAAGAGAAUUCAGCCCGGCCUGGUGGCGCACGUCUGAAAUUCCAGCUACUCGGGAGGCUGAGGACGGAGGAUGGAAAGUCGAAGUCGGCCUCGACAACGCAGCGAAACCCUGUCUGAAAAUAAAAAGAGAAAGGCGGGGGAUGUACCUCACUGGUGGAGCGGUGGAGCACGAGGCCCUGGGUUCAAUCCCCACUACUAAAAAUAAAAGAAUUCACUUACUCUUUCUCCCCCUCAAAAAAUUAGACUCAACUGAGCGAGAACCUUCCCCUAUUUCCUUACCUGAUUAAUUGGACUUUAGAUGAUGUUUUCUUGGAGCGAUUUUGUUAGAAGGCUAUUUCAGAAGCUAUGUAGGAAAUUGGAAAAUUGGCUUCCAACCGGUGGGAUUAAAAACCCCCAUGCAGUGAAAUGUGUCUUUGGCUGUUUUGCAGAAGAUUGAAAAUUAAGGGAUUUGAUGGUUGUGUGUAGGGGGGUGGUUGUGUCCUCCCCUCCCCCAAUAGAUUAGAACAAAAGGCCGGGCGGAGGGGGCCGAUGGGCUGUGGGUUGCAAAGCCCCCCAGCGAAUGGAGCACGGUAUUAAAGUCCCUCUUUUCCGGAGUCCCCGCGCACACCCUGAUAUCUUUUCCAAGGUGGGUGGAAAAGAAGGUGACGCCUCCUCCCAGAGUCGGGUUGGGCCCUGUGCUUGGCCCUAGCGGCAGGGACCCUUCACCCGUUCGUUCCAAGUAGUGGUUUCUGGGCUGAGGAGGAAGGGCCCGGGCUUCGCAAAGUCCCCUCUUCGGGGCAUAGCACAUGGUUUCUAUGGCCACCCUCUGAGGACAAGGGCUACAGGCGAAAACCGCUGUGUCUCUUCCAGGCCCUGCGUGGCACUCGGGGCGCAGACCCGCGUCCACCAAAGCCCUAGACCUCAUUUCCCUCGAAAUAAAACCCAACAAGCUGUAAAGGGUCCCUACUCCAGUGGAAAGGUCCUCAGAUUUAUGGUUCCCGAUUUCCCCACACUCUAAUUAUCCCGAUUUUUAGUUGACUUAUUGAUGGUGACCAAUAAAAUGAUUUUACAUUUUGGAUUUUUUUCCCCAAAA